CGGAGGCCGGAGUACGCGAGGUUUGCCGGAGGCCGGAGUACGCGAGGUUUGCCGGAGGCCGGAGUACGCGAGGUUUGCCGGAGGCCGGAGUACGCGAGGUUUGCCGGAGUACGCGGAGGUCGGAGUACGCGUGGCUGGCCGGAGGUCGGAGUACACAAAAUAUCCGAUCUAUGCACAUAUGACAGUGACAAUGAUGAAUACGACGAUGGAAAUUGUGCUUCCCAACGCCGGGGUGGCUGGUGGUACUGGAAUUGUUCUGAGAGCCAGCUCAACUCCUUGUAUUAUGCUUCCAGCCGGGAGGAUAAACCUUAUACGGGAAUAAAUUAGUACCAUUGGAAGGGGCCCGAAUACUCGAUCAAAAGGGUUGAAAUGAAGAUUCGUAAACCUUAACCACAAUCAUCUAAAUGCUGUCUGAAUAGUUGAAAAAAUUAAUGGAACAUCAUAAAAUCCACAGCAACAGUUGUAUGAUAAACAUAUGGAAAUAUUUUGAAUAUAAUGAAAUAUUAUAAUGAACAUAUUUUAUUUUUUUAUGACUACAAACCCGUCGUAGUAAUACCAACGCCACAAACAUUAUAACAAUUUUACUGAAUUCCCAAAAAGUAACCACUAUUUUUUUUUUUAAAUCUUUGUGACAAAUUUCGCACCUUUAUUAAUGAAUGGCAGAAAGGAUUCGAGAGAUUGACAUUAAAGCAAACAGUUUCUUAGUUUUGUCAUUAAAGCUCCGUAUAAUCCAAUUAUUAAACAUAUUAAAAUACGAUAAUAACAAUAAUAAGAUAUACAAUGAAAUAGUUUUUUUCGCGCUCUAACGAUUUUCAAGUUAGAUAGCUCAAAAUUUGCGUAAAAUUGAUUAGAUCAAUAAUCCGUCAUAAAAUUGGGGAGGUCCAUUGUUGGAUUUCGAGAUAAGAGCCAAAAUGUGCGAAUUUUUUGCAAAUUUUGACUUUUGUGUCAAACUGGUCCAAAUUUCACUGGAAAUAAUUCGAAAAAUUAUUUUGGACUAGAAUCUGGCCACUGCCUCGAAUCCCGACCCCAGUUUUCUAGUUUAAUGAUACAGUGGAAUAAUAAUUUAGUAGUACAAAUUAGAUACAA